CCUACGGGUGGCAGCAGUAGGGAAUUUUUCACAAUGGGCGAAAGCCUGAUGGAGCAAUGCCGCGUGAAUGAUGAAGGUCUUAUAGAUUGUAAAAUUCUUUUAUUUGGGAAGAAAAACUAAAGUAGGAAAUGACUUUAGUCUGACUGUACCAUUUGAAUAAGUAUCGGCUAACUAUGUGCCAGCAGCCGCGGUAAUACGUAGGUGGCAAGCGUUAUCCGGAUUUACUGGGUGUAAAGGGCGUGUAGGCGGGAAAGCAAGUCAGAUGUGAAAACCAUGGGCUCAACCUGUGGCCUGCAUUUGAAACUGGUUUUCUUGAGUACUGGAGAGGCAGACGGAAUUCCUAGUGUAGCGGUGAAAUGCGUAGAUAUCACGAAGAACUCCGAUUGCGAAGGCAGCCUGCUGGACUGUAACUGACGCUGAUGCUCGAAAGUGUGGGUAUCAAACAGGAUUAGAUACCCGAGUAGUC
rnacentral:rRNA from 1 species